rnacentral:rRNA from 1 species
GCCUAAAGCGUCCGUAGCCGGCUCUGUAAGUUUUCGGUUAAAUCUGUACGCUCAACGUACAGGCUGCCGGAAAUACUGCAGAGCUAGGGAGUGGGAGAGGUAGACGGUACUCGGGAGGAAGGGGUAAAAUCCUUUGAUCUUUCGAUGACCACCUGUGGCGAAGGCGGUCUACCAGAACACGUCCGACGGUGAGGGAUGAAAGCUGGGGGAGCAAACCGGAUUAGAUACCCGGGUAGUCCCAGCCGUAAACUAUGCAAACUCAGUGAUGCAUUGACUUGUGGUCAAUGCAGUGCCGCAGGGAAGCCGUUAAGUUUGCCGCCUGGGAAGUACGUACGCAAGUAUGAAACUUAAAGGAAUUGGCGGGGGAGCACCACAAGGGGUGAAGCCUGCGGUUCAAUUGGAGUCAACGCCAGAAAUCUUACCCGGAGAGACAGCAGAAUGAAGGUCAAGCUGAAGACUUUACCAGACAAGCUGAGAGGUGGUGCAUGGCCGUCGCCAGCUCGUGCCGUGAGAUGUCCUGUUAAGUCAGGUAACGAGCGAGACCCUUGCCUCUAGUUGCCACCAUUGCUCUCUGGAGCAGUGGGGCGAAUUAGCGGGACCGCCGCAGUUAAUGCGGAGGAAGGAAAGGGCUACGGCAGGUCAGUAUGCCCCGAA